CAAUAGCGUAUAUUAAAGUUGUUGCAGUUAAAAAGCUCGUAGUUGGAUGUCUGCUCGGUUAUGCCGGUCGGCGCUCAGCGUCUGUACACGGUUAUUUCCGGGCAUUUACUAGGGAUCACGACUGCACUUGACUGUGUGGCGUGCUACUUAGUUCCGUUACUUUGAGAAAAUUAGUGUGUUUCAAGCAGGCCUACGCCUUGAAUACUGCAGCAUGGAAUAAUAUUUUAAGGCUUUGAUCUUAUUUAUUGGUUUUGAAGACCAAAGCAAGGAUUAAUAGGGACGGUUGGGGGCGUUCGUAUUUGAUUGUCAGAGGUGAAAUUCUUGGAUUUAUCAAAGACGAACAACUGCGAAAGCAUUCGCCAAAGAUGUUUUCAUUAA
rnacentral:rRNA from 1 species